ACAGGCCACACUCAUCCCUCUGGUAAAUUGUGAUCAUCCACAUGCAGCACUUCCCUGCAGUCAGUGUCACAUCUCCAAACUCAUCUCCUGGCAGAUAUAUUCAGAAACAACAAGGUUUUCUACUGAAAACAAAAGCUUGUUGAGACAACAGCAUAAUUAACAUCCACCUGAGCAACUCUCUGCAUCCUGGCUAAGGGCCAAGCAUGUUCUCAGCCCAGGACAGGGAAAAGGAAGGCUCAAAGAUGCUCCCAAGAAAAUGCCAUCACAGUGGAGGCAUUGACAGCCUCUGAAACCCCGGGGAAGGCCAGCUCUGAAAUCAUCACAGAUUUACAGCUUUGAUUUGUUACUCAACAGGAUCUUCACUGGAAGAAACGUGGACUGGGAAAAAGGGAACCUUGAAGCGUGACUGAAAAAAAGAGAGAAACUCUUGGCAGUCCAAAGGAACUGAUCCUGCAGACCUCCUUGUUCAGUGAGGCUUGGACUCUGUCCAGUGCUGCUGUGAGCUCCAGUUCCAUCCUGCCCACAGGU